rnacentral:rRNA from 1 species
GACGAACGCUGGCGGCGUGCCUAAUACAUGCAGGUAGAACGCUGAAGGAGGAGCUUGCUCUUCUGGAUGAGUUGCGAACGGGUGAGUAACGCGUAGGUAACCUGCCUGGUAGCGGGGGAUAACUAUUGGAAACGAUAGCUAAUACCGCAUAACAGUAGAUGUUGCAUGACAUUUACUUAAAAGGUGCAAUUGCAUCACUACCAGAUGGACCUGCGUUGUAUUAGCUAGUUGGUGGGGUAACGGCUCACCAAGGCGACGAUACAUAGCCGACCUGAGAAGGUGAUCGGCCACACUGGGACUGAGACACGGCCCAGACUCCUACGGGAGGCAGCAGUAGGGAAUCUUCGGCAAUGGACGGAAGUCUGACCGAGCAACGCCGCGUGAGUGAAGAAGGGUUUCGGAUCGUAAAGCUCUGUUGUAAGGGAAGAACGAGUGUGAGAGUGGAAAGUUCACACUGUGACGGUAUCUUACCAGAAAGGGACGGCUAACUACGUG